rnacentral:rRNA from 1 species
UACAGAGGGUGCGAGCGUUGUCCGGAAUCACUGGGCGUAAAGGGCGCGUAGGUGGCGACCCAAGUCGAUGGUGAAAGCUCGCCGCUCAACGGCGAGUCGGCCACUGAUACUGGGUUGCUGGAGCACUGUAGAGGCAGAUGGAAUUCCGGGUGUAGCGGUGGAAUGCGUAGAGAUCCGGAAGAACACCGGUGGCGAAGGCGGUCUGCUGGGCAGUUGCUGACACUGAGGCGCGACAGCGUGGGGAGCAAACAGGG